rnacentral:tRNA from 4 species
UCCGCGGCCUGGAUCAGCUUGAGCAGGAUGUUCUCGACGUCCUCGCCGACGUACCCCGCCUCGGUGAGCGCCGUGGCGUCGGCGAUCGCGAAG